rnacentral:lncRNA from 1 species
GAAAAUUGACAGAAAUCAGCAACUAAGAUCAGCCAUUACAUUACACCUUGCUCUAUAUAUAGAUUAAAGAGAGAAAAAUUCAUUUGUUACCCCACAAGUGCUCAACCUUGACUCUCUCUCUCUCUUAAACCAACGAAAUCAUAAGACAAAUCAGUCCCAUAUUCAAGCCCCACGAACACCAUAACCAAAUCAGAAGCUAGAAAUCAAGAUUCGUUCAUAAGAGGUAUAAAACCCUAGCAUGAUUUCUCUCCAAAAAUCUGAUGUUUGAUGUUGUUUUUUUGUGUUAAACAUGUUAAUUAGAUAUAGUGUCUAAGGAUGAUCUGGGUUGCUAGAUGUUAGAUCCAUAACAUCUAGAGGCUCGGAUUUGAGGAUUUACAAAAUCUAGAAAAUGUUCAAACUGUAGUCUGACAACCAAUGUCAGUGGCCACAGAUCCUUGUUCAUGUAUGAUUUUUGUUGUUUAAAGGUUUAAAUAUGUAGUCUGACAUGUAGUCUUUGAUCUGGAACAAGAAUUAGACUUAGAUCUGGUCUAUAUUGCAAGCUAUUGUUAGUCAAAAGUCGUUGACCGACCAUGAUCGGAAAAAAUCUGGGUAACCCAGAUCUUGCCCAGAAAUGGUCUGACAAGACUUUAGACGCCUCUGAUCUCGUAACGUAUUGUUUCUUUGUGUUUGUUGUUGUGAUAUGGUUAUUGUAUGGUAGUUCUACUACAUGUGUUGAUUCUCUUAGAUCAUUUUUAUCAUAAGCAUACUGGAAUUAGGGGAUGGUCAAACCAGGCAGAAAGUCCACGGAUGAGCUUUUUGGGUAACCCAGAAAGUUCAUGAGCAUGGAUUCUGACAUGGUUUGACUGGACCUGUUUUGGCUAUUCUGAUUUUGUUAGGAUGAUUGGAUGUAAUAGAUCUGUUCAUGUGUAUGUUGGCUACACACUGCAAUCUUUAAAUCACUAAAACAAUGCAAAGAUUACAAGUUGUGGAAGCCCAAUUAUGAGUAGUCGAACGGUUCUUAAUUUCUGGGUAACCCAGAAAAUGAAGAACAGCACUGACAGCUUGUUCAUGGCUCCAGAUCUCCUUUGUUAUGUGUUGUUUGGCCAUGUUUGUUAUUGGAUCUUAUAGUCGUGCAUUAGUACUACAAUAUCUUACUAACACGCGGCUCAGAAACAUCUGGAUUUGAUCAAAAAAGCUUGGUCAAACAAGGAACCUCGAAAUUGUGUAUGAAGUUCUGGGUUUGGCCAAUAACAGCUCAAGAACACCUAAGGCGACGGUUUCUGUCGCCAAAGGGCUUUAGCGACAGACAAUAUUUAUUAUUUUCUGGAAAUUAAUUAAUUUAAUUAAAUAAAUAGAAAAAAAUAGUUUUUAAUUAUUAAAAAUACAAAAUAAAUUAUAAAAAAAAAAAUUAAAAUUCCGAAAAUUAUAUUUUUAUUAUGUUGAAUAUAUUUCAUAAAUAUUUAAUAUUUUUGGAAUAUUAAUGGUAUUUAAUUUAUUUAAUUAUAAUAUUAAUAAAUUAAUUAAAAAUGAUUUUAAUACAUGAAAAAUCAUUUAAAAUUAUAUUAUGGUAUAAGAAAAUAAUUUAAGUUCUUUUUGAUAACUUUUGAUAUUUUUUUGAUGAAAUUCAUUAAUAAAUUAAUAAUUAUAAUUGAGUUAUUUACUAAAUCAAAUAAAUAAAUUAAUUAAAAAUGAUUUUAUUAUAUUAAAAAUCAUUUUAAAUAAUAAUAAAGUAUUUCAAAAUAUUUUAAGUUAUAAAAUAUAACUUUUAAUAUUUAAAGGUAAAUUUCAUUAAUUAAUUAUUAGUAAUGAUAUUAAAGUUAUUUAAUGAUUAUAUUAAAUAAAUUACUUUAAAAAUGAUUUUAAUAUUACAAAAAUCAUUUUAAAUGAAAAUAAAGUGUUUAAGGAUAUUUUAAGUUAUAAAAUAUAAAUUUUAAUAUUUAAAGGAUAAUCAUUGUAUUUAAUCACAUGUUGAUAUAUAUAUAUGUAUAUAUAUAUAUAUAUAUAUAUAUAUAUAUAUAUAUAUAUAUAUAUAUAUAUAUAUAUAUAUAAGCCGUCUAAGCUAUUUGAUUAGCUNNNNNNNNNNNNNNNNNNNNNNNNNNNNNNNNNNNNNNNNNNNNNNNNNNNNNNNNNNNNNNNNNNNNNNNNNNNNNNNNNNNNNNNNNNNNNNNNNNNNNNNNNNNNNNNNNNNNNNNNNNNAAUGUUCAUAGUAUGUCGACUACCCUAUAUAUAUAUAUAUAUAUAUAUAUAUAUAUAUAUAUGUAUAUGUAUAUAUAUAUAUAUAUAGUCUAUACGUAGUUUCAAAAAAAAUUGAGAUAGAAUUGUCAUGUUAUUAUUAUCGGUUCAGUUUACUUCACAACUAUAAAUUCGUUGCAGAAGUGAUGUACAAAGAAAAUAUUUAUUUCUUUCAGCUAGUUAUAUUUAUAAUUGUUAUUACUUGCUGGGCACCCAAAUGCUCAUUCUUGCUUUAAAUUAAAUGUUUUCAGCUAGGCAUGAUCAACCCGAAGGUUCAGACAAGAACAAGUGAAAAGGACAGCAAACAGAACAUGUUUAAUGGUAUCUUUUGUAAUAGUUAGACAAUAUAUAGACAAUGAUAUGUAUUAUAUAUCAUGUAAAGAAUUAUAGUAAAGGUUGUGUAAUUGGGAUUAGACUCUGAUAAAUGUAAGUUAAGUUGGAUUUUUAUAUUAUUGUUAUUAUUAGUAGUAUUAUUCCGCUCAUA